rnacentral:rRNA from 1 species
UACAGAGGGUGCAAGCGUUAAUCGGAAUUACUGGGCGUAAAGCGUGCGUAGACGGUUACAUAAGUCAGAUGUGAAAGCCCCGGGCUCAACCUGGGAAUUGCAUUUGAGACUGUGUAGCUAGGGUGCGGAAGAGGGAAGCGGAAUUUCCGGUGUAGCGGUGAAAUGCGUAGAUAUCUGGAGGAACACCGGUGGCGAAGGCGGCAUCCUGGACCAACACUGACGCUGAGGAGCGAAAGCCAGGGGAGCAAACGGG